UGGUGGAGUGAUUUGUCUGGUUAAUUCCGAUAACGAGCGAGACCCCAGCAUACUAAUUAGCUAUAGAAAUCUUCGGAUUUCUGAUUCAAUAGCUUCUUAGAGGGACUAUCGGUGUGUAGCCGAUGGAAGUUUGAGGCAAUAACA
rnacentral:rRNA from 1 species